GACCUUAUAGCUCAGUUGGUUAGAGCGUGCGGCUGUUAACCGCAAGGUCGUUGGUUCGAAACCAACUAGGGUCG
rnacentral:tRNA from 1 species